rnacentral:lncRNA from 1 species
GAAAUUAAGGACAUGUUUGGUUUAAAAUAGAAAUUUAGAAUUUGUUUGAUUCAAGGGUGGAAUUGGAAUGGGAAUGAAUUGGAAUGGUAAUUGGAAUGGCUCACUCCCUCAAGACGUUUGGUUUAUUUGUGGAUUGGGAAUUGGAAUGAGUUAUUCACAUUUCAUUGUUUGGUUCGUAUAAACUAAAAAAACUAUAGGAUACUAUAAUACUAAUUUUACUCUCAAAUAUAAAUUUAUAUUAUUUAAAAUUUAUAAAAAAUAUAAUACUAUUCUCUAAUAAGUUUUCCAAAAAAAAUAUCAAAUUUAUUUUUAAAAACUUUUAUUGAUGUGGGUUAGGGAUAAGGUUUUGAGAGAGGAUAGAUUUUUUUUUUUUUUUUGAUGAGAAAGGGGUGAAGAGAAGGAGAGUGAGAUGGUCACAUGGGCUUCAAGAACUUAGUGGGCUUCCGGAAUGAAAUCUCAAUCCGGGCUAGAAGACCGGAAUCAAGUUGAAGGCUAAUGGGCCAUUCCCAUUCCAGUCCGGAAUAGGAAUCCCAAACUGAUUCAUGCGAACCAAACAAAAUUAACCGGAUUUGAUCACACCGAUUUCCAUUCCAUAUCCAAAAUGGAUGAACCAAACAAGCCCUUAAUUCGGAAUCGGAGUAAAAGGGAUUCAAAUUGUAAAACAAAAUGAGAAAUAAUCUGAUUUUGUUGGUUUAUCAGAGCAAUCGGAGUCGAAAUUGAAAUCUUGAUCAAAUUAAAGAUUCAAAACAAAAAAUUAAAUUUAAAUUUAAUAUUUUCCUCUCGAAAUAGAAAUCAGAAUGACAAUUUUUCAAACCAAACACAAACAGUAAAAAUGGAUCAUUGUGAAAUUAAUGUUGAUUUCCACCUCUGUAUGGGAAUCAUUUUGGGAGAAUUCGAUUUCCCUUUAUUUGGUUUGCACUAUGAAAGAUUACUAGGAGUAAAAAAAUAUCCGAGAAUCUUAUUCCUAUUCAUCCUAUUACUAAGAAUGUGGCAUUCAUGUGUUUGGUUUGCACGGUCAUAUUAUUUAGUCAUGUUAUUUAAGUUUACAAAAAAUAUACAAUUAAUUUAUUUAUUUCUUCAAUUAAUUUUAGAUAAUGCUAUCAAAAAUUUCAACAUCUUUUGAGAAAAAAUGGAGAGAAAAUAUAGGUUAGAAAGAGAGAGCAUAAUUAAAUAAUAGGAAGAGAAAUAGAGUCGAGAUUAGAGGGAGUGAGGGAGUUGAAAUUUUAAAAAAAGAGGGGAAGGAGAGAGCUUAGUUUAGAGAGAGAAAAAGAGUUGAAGUUUAGAGAGAAAAAAAUAAGUUUAGAGAGAGAUAUGAGGUUAGAGUGUAAAGGAUAAUAAUACUAACUAGCCGGCGGGUAGGGAGAAAGAAAGAGAUUAGACAUAUUAUGAUUACCCAAUUUAUUAAUAUGAGGAUACCCACUCUCCCGUAAGGGAAUGAGAUUAGUACUUUGGGAUAAAUCUCAUUUCCAAGUGAAUCUAAUAUUACCAACUAGAUUACUUAGUGUCUUUAGCCAAACACCGUCAUAUUUUUUUAUUCCCAUUACAUUAUUAGGAAUCUUAAAAAGAUAGCGCGAACCAAACGCACCCUAAUAGAAAUCAGAAUGGCAAUCUUUCAAACCAACACAAAAAUGAAUCAUUUUUAUUCCUGUUCCAAGUCUCAAAUUUAACUUGAGGCUGGCCUACUGGCCAUCUUCUAAAAAAAUAAAAAAAGAAAAAAGCAAAUCCUUAGGUUUUGGAUCAAAUUGGGCUGUAAUGAGUUCUCAUGGGCUACUCCAGGCCCAGUUGUAUUGCAUCAGAGGAGAUUGUUUUAAGCUAGGCUUGAGAGACGAAUCCGAAGGGAAAAGGGGUAUCCCGCCUCCCGCUCUAUUUCUUGUCAGAUUGGAGCGGAUUCGGGAGGGAUUAAUUUCAAUUUUUAUUUAGCUCCUAUUUACAGCUCCAUUAGGGGUGAAUCGGAGCAGAAGCGGUUUUGACGGACUUUUGGUGGAUCAAGACGGAUCGAAGAAAGAAAAAAAUCUCCCGCCACCUGCUCUAUUUAACUGGUCGAUUAGGACGAAUUCAAAACGAAUUAUAAUUUUUU